rnacentral:rRNA from 1 species
GACGAACGCUGGCGGCGUGCUUAACACAUGCAAGUCGAACGGAAAGGCCCGGCGUUUGUGGGGCGCUUGUUUGCGGAAGGGGGGAGAAAAACGUGAGUAACCUGCCCCUGACUUUGGGAGAACUUCACGGAACUGGGGCUAAAACCGGAGAGGAUAUCCUGCAGCAUGGGGGGCGAUAGAAAGAUACGGCGUUGGGGUAUGGACUCGCGGCUUACCAGCUUGUUGGGGGGGUAGUGGCUGUCCAAGGCUUUGACGGGUAGCCGGCCUGGGAGGGUGACCGGCCACAUUGGGACUGAGAUACGGCCCAGACUCCUACGGGAGGCAGCAGUGGGGAAUAUUGCACAAUGGGCGGAAGCCUGAUGCAGCAACGCCGCGUGCGGGAUGACGGCCUUCGGGUUGUAAACCGCUUUCGCCUGUGACGAAGCGUGAGUGACGGUAAUGGGUAAAGAAGCACCGGCUAACUACGUG